GACGAACGCUGGCGGCGUGCCUAAUACAUGCAAGUAGAACGCUGAAGGAGGAGCUUGCUUCUCUGGAUGAGUUGCGAACGGGUGAGUAACGCGUAGGUAACCUGCCUGGUAGCGGGGGAUAACUAUUGGAAACGAUAGCUAAUACCGCAUAAGAGUAGAUGUCGCAUGACAUUUGCUUAAAAGGUGCAAUUGCAUCACUACCAGAUGGACCUGCGUUGUAUUAGCUAGUUGGUGAGGUAACGGCUCACCAAGGCAACGAUACAUAGCCGACCUGAGAGGGUGAUCGGCCACACUGGGACUGAGACACGGCCCAGACUCCUACGGGAGGCAGCAGUAGGGAAUCUUCGGCAAUGGACGGAAGUCUGACCGAGCAACGCCGCGUGAGUGAAGAAGGUUUUCGGAUCGUAAAGCUCUGUUGUAGGAGAAGAACGAGUGUGAGAGUGGAAAGUUCACACUGUGACGGUAUCUUACCAGAAAGAGACGGCUAACUACGUG
rnacentral:rRNA from 1 species